GAUGAACGCUGGCGGCGUGCCUAAUACAUGCAAGUCGAGCGAACAGACGAGGAGCUUGCUCCUCUGAUGUUAGCGGCGGACGGGUGAGUAACACGUGGAUAACCUACCUAUAAGACUGGGCUAACUUCGGGAAACCGGAGCUAAUACCGGAUAACAUGUUGAACCGCAUGGUUCAACAGUGAAAGACGGUCUUGCUGUCACUUAUAGAUGGAUCCGCGCCGCAUUAGCUAGUUGGUAAGGUAACGGCUUACCAAGGCAACGAUGCGUAGCCGACCUGAGAGGGUGAUCGGCCACACUGGAACUGAGACACGGUCCAGACUCCUACGGGAGGCAGCAGUAGGGAAUCUUCCGCAAUGGGCGAAAGCCUGACGGAGCAACGCCGCGUGAGUGAAGAAGGUCUUCGGAUCGUAAAACUCUGUUAUUAGGGAAGAACAAAUGUGUAAGUAACUAUGCACGUCUUGACGGUACCUAAUCAGAAAGCCACGGCUAACUACGUG
rnacentral:rRNA from 1 species